GACGAAAAAUGAAUACCAAGUCUCAAGAGUGAACACGUAAUUCAUUACGAAGUUUAAUUCAUUGAGCAUCAAACUUUUAAAUUGAAGAGUUUGAUCAUGGCUCAGAUUGAACGCUGGCGGCAGGCCUAACACAUGCAAGUCGAACGGUAACAGGAAGCAGCUUGCUGCUUUGCUGACGAGUGGCGGACGGGNNNNNNNNNNNNNNNNNNNNAAUGUCUGGGAAACUGCCUGAUGGAGGGGGAUAACUACUGGAAACGGUGGCUAAUACCGCAUAACGUCGCAAGACCAAAGAGGGGGACCUUCGGGCCUCUUGCCAUCAGAUGUGCCCAGAUGGGAUUAGCUUGUUGGUGAGGUAACGGCUCACCAAGGCGACGAUCCCUAGCUGGUCUGAGAGGAUGACCAGCCACACUGGAACUGAGACACGGUCCAGACUCCUACGGGAGGCAGCAGUGGGGAAUAUUGCACAAUGGGCGCAAGCCUGAUGCAGCCAUGCCGCGUGUAUGAAGAAGGCCUUCGGGUUGUAAAGUACUUUCAGCGGGGAGGAAGGUGUUGUGGUUAAUAACCGCAGCAAUUGACGUUACCCGCAGAAGAAGCACCGGCUAACUCCGUGCCAGCAGCCGCGGUAAUACGGAGGGUGCAAGCGUUAAUCGGAAUUACUGGGCGUAAAGCGCACGCAGGCGGUCUGUCAAGUCGGAUGUGAAAUCCCCGGGCUCAACCUGGGAACUGCAUUCGAAACUGGCAGGCUUGAGUCUUGUAGAGGGGGGUAGAAUUCCAGGUGUAGCGGUGAAAUGCGUAGAGAUCUGGAGGAAUACCGGUGGCGAAGGCGGCCCCCUGGACAAAGACUGACGCUCAGGUGCGAAAGCGUGGGGAGCAAACAGGAUUAGAUACCCUGGUAGUCCACGCCGUAAACGAUGUCUACUUGGAGGUUGUGCCCUUGAGGCGUGGCUUCCGGAGCUAACGCGUUAAGUAGACCGCCUGGGGAGUACGGCCGCAAGGUUAAAACUCAAAUGAAUUGACGGGGGCCCGCACAAGCGGUGGAGCAUGUGGUUUAAUUCGAUGCAACGCGAAGAACCUUACCUGGUCUUGACAUCCACGGAAGUUUUCAGAGAUGAGAAUGUGCCUUCGGGAACCGUGAGACAGGUGCUGCAUGGCUGUCGUCAGCUCGUGUUGUGAAAUGUUGGGUUAAGUCCCGCAACGAGCGCAACCCUUAUCCUUUGUUGCCAGCGGUCCGGCCGGGAACUCAAAGGAGACUGCCAGUGAUAAACUGGAGGAAGGUGGGGAUGACGUCAAGUCAUCAUGGCCCUUACGACCAGGGCUACACACGUGCUACAAUGGCGCAUACAAAGAGAAGCGACCUCGCGAGAGCAAGCGGACCUCAUAAAGUGCGUCGUAGUCCGGAUUGGAGUCUGCAACUCGACUCCAUGAAGUCGGAAUCGCUAGUAAUCGUGGAUCAGAAUGCCACGGUGAAUACGUUCCCGGGCCUUGUACACACCGCCCGUCACACCAUGGGAGUGGGUUGCAAAAGAAGUAGGUAGCUUAACCUUCGGGAGGGCGCUUACCACUUUGUGAUUCAUGACUGGGGUGAAGUCGUAACAAGGUAACCGUAGGGGAACCUGCGGUUGGAUCACCUCCUUACCUUAAAGAAGCGUACUUUGCAGUGCUCACACAGAUUGUCUGAUGAAAA
rnacentral:rRNA from 1 species